rnacentral:lncRNA from 1 species
GACAAAUUGACAUUUUCAAAGGGCAAAGGAAUCUUCCAAUAAAAUUUUAACAUAAAAACAAAGUAGCGAAUAAAUAGAUAAUUUUGACCUAAUCAAUAUUCAUUUUAUUGCCAUUCUCUUCUCCUUAUAAAAACGAAAAAAAUAAAAUACCAUAACGCGAACCAGCCCAGCUUUUUUAGCUCCAUGUGUUGUGCCGCAGCUUAGGCAUUGCUUAGCAUUUGAAUAAUCUCCUCUUCUCUCUCUCAAUCAUUCCCCAAUUCUCAAUUCAUAAAUCCAUCCCCCAUAUCUUCUUCUCUUUCUCUGUUGUUUUCUUCGUCACUAUCAUCUUCAUCUUCAUCUUCAUCUUCAUCUCUGUUUUGUUUUUUUCUUCUAGAAAUUCGGCACACAACCCUAGGAAAUACACAUCAUAAUUGUUUGAAUGUUGUGAUCUGAAAAUUUAGUUAUAUAUAUAAAGACAUAAAGAGAGAGUCAUGUAUAGUAAUACCGCUCGCAAAUACUCUUCUUCUGCCGCUUCUUCACUCUUGAGAAGAGCCUCUUCAUCUUCUUCCGUUUCUAGACCAGUAGCUUCCUCUUCUGCUGCUACUCACGCGCCUUCGUCUUCUUCUCUCUGUAAUCAGCAGCAGCGUUUCUCCUCCACGCUCCGGUCGGUGAGGUGUUCGGUGCCGCGGUGGAGCCACGGUGUUGAUUGGAAGUCUCCGAUCAGUCUUACUGCUCAGAUCAGGACCGCCGCCCCUGCUUUCAACAGCUUCCACAAAAAGCUCUCUACCAUGGGUACUUUUGUCUUUUAAUCCUUGAUUUGUUUUCUGGGUAAUUUUGUCAAUCUGAAAAAGUAAAUCGAAAGAAUAUGCUUUUAAGUUAUAUAUAUUGACAUGUAAAAUUAUAAUUUAACAUAUUAUAACAAGUUAUUAAAUAGAAUUAAUAUAUUUUACAUCGUUAGUGCACAACACUUUAAUCCUAUUUUUAGUAGUAAUAAAUAAUACUACACAUUGUGACAAAGGUUAGUGGAACGUGGGUGGUAGGGCCGAUGAGUGGGAAGACUUAAGAAGUUGACUUAAGAUAUUUCAUUUUUAUCAUUUGUGUUUGUGGUUAGGUAUUUUCAUUAAAAAAACAUAAAAUACUAUUUAUUUUUGCAUAGUAGUGCUACUAAGAGCUGCUGUAAGUGAAUGCGAAUCAAUUCUCAGUAGAAAAGCAAGAAGAAUCUGAUUCUUUUUUGUGUUGAUGAUGGAUUCAGCUGAAAAGAACCCAUUUAAGGAAAUCCUCACUGCUCUUCCAAAGCCUGGAGGUGGUGAAUUCGGAAAGUUCUAUAGCCUACCUGCUCUCAACGAUCCCAGGAUUGGUAAACUUUAAGACCUUCUUAUACUUUCUAUUUUUAUUUUUUAGCAGACCUGAUUAUUUUCUUAUAUUGAAAUUUGAUCUGUAUCUUUCUUAUCAGUUUGAUUAUUGACUUUUUCUUGCUCUGUUGAUUUGUAUAUAACAGAGAAGCUGCCAUACUCUAUUAGGAUUCUUCUCGAAUCAGCAAUUCGUAAUUGUGACAACUUUCAAGUGAAAAAGGAAGAUGUUGAAAAGAUUAUCGACUGGGAAAAUUCUGCACCUAAGCUUGUGGAGAUACCCUUCAAGCCUGCCCGUGUGCUGCUUCAGGUACUAGUCUUUUGCAUGUCUUGAACAUUAAAAAAAAGAAUGCAGUGUGAGAUGACAGGCGGUUUUCACCCGAACAAUUUUCUUGUUUGACAGGAUUUUACUGGUGUACCCGCUGUGGUGGACCUUGCUUGCAUGCGUGAUGCCAUGAACAACCUCGGCAGUGAUUCUGACAAGAUCAAUCCAUUGGUAUGUGCUGUUUCUAGUUAGUGCAUUAUGGCAAAGUUUCUUUAACUAUGUGAAAUUGUGAAUAGAAUGCAGUAUAGUCACUUGAUGAAUAAAGCACACAAAUUUUCUGUAUGGCAGUCGUUGUCAAUACUACUGCAGUUUGACAAAAGGUAGAGGAAAACUGUCAGUUUGCGUUUAUAAUACUUUUGAUAAGUCAAAUGACUUUCAUCUAGUGAGUUGCUUAUAUUAAUCUCGUUCAUGAACAUUGAAUUGCAUUAUGCUAUUAGUGUAGUGUCACAAUAUAUUGGCUUAUUCAUCACUGACAAUUUUAUGCUUCAAUUCCUUGGUUAUAGUUCUUUUCAUAUUCCUCUCAUGAAUGAAUCUUUCUCCACUUCGGUAAUUCUCUCUCGAAUAUUAUUUCAGGUUCCUGUUGACCUAGUUAUUGAUCACUCCGUUCAAGUUGACGUGGCAAGGUCAGAAAAUGCAGUCCAGGCUAAUAUGGAGCUUGAAUUCCAAAGGAACAAGGAGAGAUUUGCCUUUCUUAAGUGGGGAUCUAAUGCUUUCCACAACAUGCUUGUUGUUCCACCUGGGUCUGGUAUUGUGCAUCAGGUAUUGGUCAUGAAAAUUGAAUGUCAAAGCUGGUUGUGCUGCUGGAUUUGUUGAAUGUGUCAUAGUUGUGCUGGGAUCUAGCUAUUUCUUGAAUCCUGAAUUUUUAACGUUUUAUUUUCUUACUUAUCUUCUGUCUUUAGCAUAAAUGCAGUGAGAUUCCUGGCUUUGCUUUCCUUAUUUAUCCUCUGAAACAACACACUUGCAAAGCUGAUAAUAGUUUUUGGCUCCAUAAUUUUAGGUCAAUCUUGAAUAUCUUGGAAGGGUUGUCUUUAAUAGGGAUGGGUUUCUCUACCCAGACAGCGUGGUCGGAACAGAUUCCCACACAACCAUGAUUGAUGGGCUAGGAGUUGCUGGCUGGGGCGUCGGAGGUAUUGAAGCUGAAGCUGCAAUGCUUGGCCAGGUAUGCAACUAUGAAUGGUGUAAUAAUCCUUCUAUCUCUUGCUGAAUCCUGGUUUAUUCGUGUGUUGUUGCAAAGAUUAGACAGCUAUGGCUUUAUGCUAAGGUGUCCCACAUUGCCCUUGUGACUGUGUUAAUGUCUGCACUUUGCCAAAUCUUUUCUAGUGGAGAAUAUCCAUUAACUUGGUGACUGGCACAUGUGGAAGUUCAUAACAUCAAUCAGCAUAUAAAGUUGCAAGAGUUUUAAGAUUUGAUGUGUCUAAGUUAUUCUCGCUUUGUUUCAAAGUAUAUGUUAACAUUGCGCUUUUCAUUCUCAAAACAAAAAUGUCAACAUUGUGUUUUUAGUUUAUUCAAAUAGUCUAUACCAAGGAAAACAUGGGACUUACAAUUACUAACUGGCAAUGCUGUUCUGACUAUCCUAUCAAUUAUAAAACAAGAAGUAAUAUGUCAGGACAUCUUUUCUCCUUAUUAGACGCUAAACAUUACAUAUUUUGAACUCUCCCCUACAUAAACGUGCUGAUGCAAAUCAAGGGAGUAGAGUUUUGUUUUUACACUUAUGCUCUAGAUUAGAGAGGAGCAUGAUAGUUGAUUACUUAGGACUUUCCCUUGCCUCAUUUAUCUGACCUUGUAGUACUUCUUUCCUUACAGAUGGGUUUUCAUUGCUUCAACUGACCAUAUCUAAUUCCAUUUCGUUGGGCUCUUCCCGAAAUUCUAUGUAUUCCUGAAAGCAUGUUUUGGUGAUUCAUGAAUUCAUCCAAUUGAAAAGGCUAUUCAUGAAUCUUCAUGUAGUUAAUGCAAUCAACUAGUUUCGUGGCUCCAUACCCUAUUUGACAAUAAUGAAAGACUGCAUUUCAUCAUUUAUUCUUGAAAAAGUUGGAAGGUGAGAUGCGAUUCUAACUUUGCCAGAAAAGAAGUGAGUUUUGGUUAUAUUUUUUCCAUUCAGCAUUUAGUACAUAUAGCUAUCUUCCAAAAAACCAGAUCAAGCCAGAAUAGGAUGUUACUUUACCUCCUCUUAGAAUAGUAUGCACUGUGUUCACUUAAUCUGAGCGGAAAAUGACAUUGCGUUUCCUGUGUGUGUGCUGCUUGCCUGUUCUUCUGUUUGUUUUAUAUAUAUGUAGAAAAAUAAUAGCUUUAGUAUGCACUGUGUUCACUUAAUCUGAGCGGAAAAUGACAUUGCGUUUCCUGUGUGUGUGCUGCUUGCCUGUUCUUCUGUUUGUUUUAUAUAUAUGUAGAAAAAUAAUAGCUUUCUAGGUAAUUUUCACUUUAAGUUGUGAGUUGUGACAAAUACUUUGAUAUUGAUUCUGAUAUUUGCACUUUGGAUAGCAAUUUUGUUAAACUUCUUCUGUAUACUGACAGCCAAUGAGCAUGGUGUUGCCUGGAGUUGUCGGGUUCAAGUUAUCAGGGAAAUUGCGGAAUGGUGUAACUGCCACUGACUUGGUCCUGACUGUCACUCAAAUGCUCAGGAAGCAUGGUGUUGUCGGAAAGUUUGUUGAAUUCUAUGGUAAAUCUAAGUUUCCUAUGCAAAUAGUUCAACCAGUGUUUAAUAGUUCCACCAGACAAGGACUUGACUGUUUGUUUUGUUUUCAUGUAGGUGAUGGAAUGGAAGGGUUAUCUUUGGCUGACAGGGCCACCAUUGCAAACAUGUCUCCUGAAUAUGGUGCAACAAUGGGUUUCUUCCCUGUAGAUCAUGUUACCCUGCAAUAUCUUAAGUUGACUGGGAGAAGUGAUGAAACAGUAAGUGUUUAGACUUUUGCUAGUGUUAAUUGAAGAUUUGAGUGUGAAAUUUCAUUUUUAUACGUGGCUAACCCCUCGACCUAAAAAUUUAGAUUGCAAUGAUAGAGGCGUAUCUCCGUGCAAAUAAGAUGUUUGUUGACUAUAAUGAGGUUAGUUUUGUUUGCUGCCUCAAUUGCGUUUACUUUAGUUUCGGUAUGAGAAUCUUGGUUGGCAUAUGAAUGAAGGUUAUGAUCUAAUCUAUUGCAUACUUGUUAUUUUUCCUUGCAAUUUCUUAAAAACUAUUGCCCUCCUUAUUUCAGCCUCAACAAGAAAAAGUGUAUUCUUCUUAUUUGGACCUAGACCUUGUGAACGUUGAACCAUGUGUGUCAGGGCCAAAGAGGUAUGUGCUCCAGCUUGCAUAAAUUCUAUAUUAAGAUGCAAAAUGUACUAUAAGGUCUAUAUAACAUGUUUGUUUUCCUUUGUAGACCUCAUGACCGUGUGCCUUUGAAAGAGAUGAAGUCUGACUGGCAUGCUUGCCUAGAUAACAAAGUUGGAUUCAAGGUGAGCGAGCUAUUCAUUUUGAUUUCUCCAUCUGUCCCAUUUUAUGUGGCAUUAUUUGAUGGGGACGUAGUUGAAGAAAGAAAGACUUUUGAAACUUGUGAUCUAAAACAAGCCAUAUACAUUUGUGUGGCUAAAAUCGUCUCAUUAAGGAUAAAAUGAGAAUUUUAAAGUUAUUAUUUCUAAAUACAGAAAUGUGUCAUUCUUUUUGGAACAUACUAACAAGGAAAGUAUGCCACUUAAAUUGGGACAGGGGGAGUACCAUUUAGUCUCCUCUUGGUUGAUCAGGUUGUAACAUAAAUUUAUGACUAUAAAGUAUCCAAGGCCAGCUUCUCAUUUCUGGAAACGCUAAUGCAACUGGUUCUACUUUGAUGCAGGGAUUUGCUGUGCCAAAAGAAGUGCAAGAUAAAGUAGCUAAGUUUGACUUCCACGGGCAACCUGCAGAGCUCAAACAUGGCAGUGUUGUGAUUGCUGCUAUCACAAGUUGCACAAAUACAUCCAAUCCCAGUGUUAUGCUAGGAGCAGCUCUUGUUGCCAAAAAGGCUUCUGAGCUGGGUCUACAUGUCAGUGCUACUCUAUAUACUUGCAUUUUUCUUUCUUCAAAGGUUUAGUCAUGCCUUCUUAAUCCUUGUUCCUGAUGUAUUUUCCAGGUUAAACCAUGGGUUAAAACAAGCCUUGCUCCAGGCUCUGGUGUUGUUACAAAAUAUUUACUCAAGAGGUAUUGAUUGAAGUUUUCUAAAAGAAAAAGUUUCUACUUUCUACUAACCCUGCCAAUUGUUAUAUGAAAGCAUUCUAAUAUGUUAUUUUCUGCAUGAAACAGUGGGCUACAGAAGUAUCUAAAUCAGCAAGGUUUCAACAUUGUUGGCUAUGGAUGCACCACUUGUAUCGGUAAUUCUGGGGACUUGGACGAAUCUGUUGCUUCUGCCAUAUCAGAGAAUGGUAAGUCCAUACAAUUGAUUUUAUUUUGUGAUUGCACUGGCUGGAGUCUGGCUAGGACAUGAUCAGUUCGCUAUAUUGUUUGACUAAUUCAAAAUGUUAUAAUGCAGACAUUGUUGCUGCUGCUGUACUCUCCGGAAAUCGAAACUUUGAGGGGCGUGUUCAUGCCCUGACAAGAGCAAACUAUCUUGCUUCACCUCCUUUGGUGGUUGCCUAUGCCCUUGCUGGCACUGUAAGUAAAUGCACUUAGAGUUGUAUAAUUAAUUAAUCCGGAGAAUUACCUUUUAACACAAUGUUAUUCUUUAUAGUAGGUGAAAGGAUGAAAGAACAUACUUCAAGUUUAUAAAAAAGGAUUAUGCUUUAUAGUAAGUGAAAGGCUGUAGAAACAUACUAGGUUUCUUGCGGUCAUAGAUGAUUUGGCAGUGGAGUGCUGAACUGGUUGGUGGGAAUGUUGAGCAAGUUUUAAGGAAUAUCAAAGCAAUUUUAAAAAAUUUAUCUUUUUAUAGCUAUGUCAAUUGGAUCUUUCAUUUAUCUUGUCUUACGAGUGUGACAUCGGAUUGGGUACUUUGGUGCGGAUUCAUCAAAAUAAACUUUAACUUAGCAAAAAAUUAUAAAGCUGUUUGGGAUACUCAUAAGCACCGUGUCAGUGACGCAGUCAUUGUCUGGUUCAUGUAACAUAGGGUUAGAGACAAUUGCUUCCGCUGAAUCAUCAAAUCAUACUCUAAAAUGAGGAUAGGGACUUUAAAGCCUAAAAGACAAAAAAAAUGUAGCUUUAAAGUGAUUAGUGUUUGAUUUCUGACAUUAAAGCUCCCUUUUUGAGUGAGAGCGCUUUCAGUGGUAGGUCAUGGUUAGCAUUCCUGUCUUGUGCAUCUUGCUUCAGGCAGGCUUAUCGGUGGCUUAACUAGAAUGUGUUCAGACAUGACUCAGCCUGGUGCAAGCUGCAUUGCUCCCAGGAGCACAAAUACAACAUAAAACAGGAUUCCAUAACUAGACACUCAAUUGAAUUUUCUUGCACAUUCUGACCUUGGUCUUGGUCUCCGAUAUUCUGAAAAAUAUUCAUGGUUGUUUACUAGGUCAAAAUUGAUUGUUGAUUAUCCUGUGUACUUAUGUCGGUGAUGGAUUUGCUUUGCAGGUUGAUAUCGACUUUGAGAAAGAUCCAAUUGGGGUGGGAAAGGAUGGUAAGGAUGUGUACUUCAGGGAUAUAUGGCCAUCAACUGAAGAAAUUGCUGAGGUAUGUAUUCAGUUAUGUGCUUAUGCACCCAUGAACAAUUAUAAACAGAGUAAAUUUACCAUGGAACUUUCAUGUUAGGUUGUUCAAUCAAGUGUAUUGCCAGACAUGUUCAAGAGUACUUAUGAAGCAAUUACAAAGGGCAAUACCAUGUGGAAUGAAUUAUCUGUACCAACAGCAAAGCUGUACUCAUGGGAUCCUAAUUCUACAUACAUUCAUGAGCCACCAUAUUUCAAGGGUAUGACCAUGGAUCCUCCUGGGCCCCAUGGAGUGAAGGAUGCCUACUGCUUGCUGAACUUUGGUGAUAGUAUUACCACGGAUCACAUUUCACCUGCUGGAAGCAUUCAUAAAGAUAGCCCAGCCGCUAGGUACCUUAUAGAGCGUGGUGUCGAUCGCAGGGACUUCAACUCAUACGGUAGCCGUCGUGGUAACGAUGAAAUUAUGGCUAGGGGUACUUUUGCCAAUAUCCGCCUUGUGAACAAGCUGUUGAAUGGGGAAGUUGGUCCAAAGACAGUCCACAUUCCCACAGGAGAAAAACUCUCUGUGUUUGAUGCUGCAAUGGUACUAUCCUUUUUUCUGUUUUUUAAUGUUCGAAAUCCUGUUUUUGUCAAAGAUACAGUUUGCAUUGUGCAUGCCUAUUAGCUACAGCAGACAAUUACUUGAGAUCUUUGCUGUUUUAUAUUAACGCUUCCUAAACACAUGAUGUCCUUAGAAAUACAAAUCUGCUGGGCAAGACACUGUUAUCUUGGCUGGAGCUGAAUAUGGAAGUGGAAGCUCCCGAGAUUGGGCUGCCAAGGGCCCAAUGUUAUUGGUGGGUUUCUUGAGCAUUGCUUCUUGACUUGGUUGAUUCUGUCUUUUUCUUUUUUGCCAUAUAAUUUCCUAACUAAAGAAUAAUUUAACAGGGAGUUAAAGCUGUAAUUGCUAAGAGCUUCGAGAGGAUUCACCGCAGCAACUUGGUAGGAAUGGGUAUCGUGCCUCUAUGUUUUAAGGCUGGGGAGGAUGCAGAUACACUUGGAUUGACAGGUCACGAGCGAUAUACCAUUGAUCUUCCAGAAAAUAUUAGUGAGAUCCGCCCAGGUCAAGAUGUUACUGUACGAACAGAAACUGGAAAAUCCUUCACUUGCACAGUGCGGUUCGACACCGAGGUGCGUCUCACAUUAUCGGUCUCUUUUGUUUUCAGUUCUUAUAUCCUGGCGUUUCUUUGUGUGAAAGAUGUCGCUGUGGCUAUUGGGUUGCAUGAUAAAGAUGCUGCCUUUUUUACGGUGUUUGAGUUUCUUCUACCUUUAUACAAGUCUUUGCCUAGAGUGCUGAAGGAAAGGCGAAGAACAAAAGGAAAAUAAAAGAAAUAUGAGCAAACAUCUUAUCAAAAUCUAGAAAUCUGAGCAAGCAUAAUAAGGAAUUAAAUUUACUCUUAAAGCCAUCUUUGCGAAAUUGGGACACUUAAAUUUGGGUCUUCUUACUGAACUUGGACGAAGGAUGUCAAUAUCUUUUCUUUUUUGGGUUAAAACAACUUGUUACAGUCGUGGAAGGCAACAGGCCCAAAUUGGAUAUAGAAGGUUCAUAGCCAACCCUAAAUAGUUUGGGAUUGAAGCGUCGUCGUAAGAUAGGAUGUCAAGAUCUAGAAUACCUAACUAAAAGGAGUAUUGAAAAUUAAGAAUCCAUGUGGACAGUAAAUCAUGAUCUACUGGAUUGUGACUUGUCACAUGGAGCUACCUGGAUAAUGAGGAUUCAUAUAGCUAAUCCAACUAGUUUGGAAUUGGGGGUGUAGUAGUAGGGAAUAGUGAUUAUCGUUAUAUGAACAGUAAAUCAUGGUGCAUCUUUUUGUAGUAAUCAAUGUAUACAUUUGAAAUUAGUGAACGAUGAAAUAGGUGAAGUACAAAAUAAGAAUGUCUUUCAUCACCCCCAAAAAGGUACUUUCGCCGAUAGUAGCUUGAAUGCUCAAAUAAGAAAUGGAAGAUCUGAUUCUGUUACCCUCUAUCAUAAAACUUUUAAAUCACAUAAGGCAAUAUGAUAUGAUAUGAUCUCCAUAUAGUUCUGCAUGCAUUGUUUGAUGUAGAAUAAACUGGCACAACAGUGCGAGAUCUCCUAUAUAAGUUGUUCUUCACCAUUCAUUAGUUUUUGGUAAGAAUUGAUAUUUUAAGAGCUUCUUCUAUCUUGUGCAGGUGGAGUUGGCUUAUUUCAACCAUGGAGGUAUUCUGCCAUAUGUCAUUCGUCAGUUGACUAAGCAAUAAGGGACCGUUUUGAUAAUUUGGCCACCUUCACGAGCUGCUGCUUAAUUGCGGGAAGAUGACAGCAGAAAGAGAGAGCUUCUCAAUAGAGAAUCUUGAGAAGGGAAUAAAGGAUUUUAAAACUUUUUAUGUCCCUGUUGUCGGGCAAAGUGUUGUUUAUUUACUUCGGGAAGCACUGAAAAUGGCAAUCUUUUGCCAACUGAUAGCAACAUACCAUUUUUUGGUAAUAAAAUUUUUAUAUUAUGAUUGUGUUUUAGCAAGGAUUAAUUGAGGCUUCUUGGUGAGAGUCAAAGGUACUUUUCGUUGGUUUAAUUUUCUGUUUAUUUUUUGGGGUCUGUUCUUUAGUUUUUUGAAAUUUUUGGGUUUUCACAUUUCCUUUACUUAAUUUUAAUGGUAGCUGUUGCUUUAAUGCUUAUCUGAAUGGGUCUGUGAAUAAGAUCGUUAAUCCCAAGUUGUACAUUAGAGCAAGUGAUUAUUUACAAGGUAAACGAUCAUGCCACUCCGCCUCCAAGUAAUCUGUGGGAUGUUAUUUGGUACCACUUAACAAUUUCAUCUUUUUUUAUACGUAUUAUAUAUAAUAUUCCCUUAAAAAGUUUAUAUGCAUUCCUUAAAAAUAAUACAAAGUAAAUAGUGAUUUCUAAAAGAAGUUGUGUCUCGAACGCUUUUGCGGAAUCUAGGAUACAACGGCGCUCUCGGUCUCACAAUAUUCAAAAUUCUUUACAGAGAUGAAAAACACAUUGUAAUUCAGAGUUCAAUUAAUAAGGACCUACUUUGAGUUGAUAGAUAUAAUCAAAUUAUAUUAUUAAUUAAUGAGGCUGGAGCUUCUUUUUUCCUUCCUUUUUAAUGUUUUCCGGGGAAGCAGUGGGGGUUGAAGAUGGUGAUAGAGAAAUCUGUUUCAAUUUCUUUUAUUUUUUCCCCUGAUUGUGAUCAAGGAGGGCAUAUACUACGAUAAUGUAAAAUUUGGUGAGAUCAGUUUAAUACCAACCGGAGUUAACAGGGAAAUAAGUUCCUCUUUGCACAAACCUGUAAUAUACUUUAUUACAAUUUGCAAAUUUAUCUUUUCCGCUGAAAUGUCGCCGAAGGGACAGCUCUAUACAAUUCGCUAGAAAAUUAAGAGUCUUAAGUUGAAUAAGGGUGAAUUAGUUAAUCCUCGUUGAUUUGGGAGGAUUUCCGAAUAUCUGUUCUGCUUUUAGGAUUUCAAACAUCUGUACACACGGUUUUUUUUUUUUGUUGGUCAUAAGGUUUUUUUUUCUUCUCAAAGUUAAAGAUGUUUGGCAAGUUUUUAGAAUGAAAAAAAAUAAUUUUAAGCAGAAGUAAAAGCAUUUUUGAGAAAUAGAAAAAAAUAAUUUCAAUCCAAAAGUACUUUUUGAAAAGUAUUUUUGACAAAGAUACACUUAGAAUCACUUUUUAAAAGCUUGACCAAAUAGUAAUCGUUGCUCAUAAGUGGCAAAUAAAUAAGUCUAACACCUACAUUUUUGAAAUGUACUUCAAAAAAAAAUACUUUUCAAAUUUAGCUUCAUUUUAGAAGCUUGACCCACAUAUUUUCAACAAGAGGUACUUGGCAAGAUUUUUCGAUCUGUACAGAAAAAACAUGUAAACAUUCCAAAAAUUGCUAUAAAUUCGUAAACUGCCUUUCUGAAAAGUAGUAUGGUCUCUUUUCUUGUGUUAUUUCUUAUCUGUCAGCUUCAAUCAUUCCCUCUAUGGUAGAUUUUCCAAGAACCAUAGUAAGCCCCCAAGUAAGCACAAGGAAAACUCUCGGCUACAGAUACUCGACUUCACAAAAUUGUCUUCAAAAUUUAUAACAAAGGGUUCAUUUUAUGAUCGAAUAUAUAAUUGUAUACGGUCGAAAUCGGGCAUACCCAAUUUCGUUGGCAGGGGAGUUGCCUCGAGGGUAACCUCAUAAUAGAUCGGGCUCGACCUCGAAGAUAGAACAUCAAGCCUGGAGAUCGAAGUGUUCAUUGAGAUUGAGGCCAUCAACAAUCGAGAUCAAGCAUGACUGACUUCGAGUAAGGCGUAAUAACGGAAUGGCGAGAUAUCAGUAACCGGUCGAAGAUCACGGCGAAAAUUUCGGAAUAGAUCAAAUUAAAGCGGUUAUUAGUGCAAAUCAUGGGAUCUACUUCCGUUAUUAGAGUUGUACCUUAUUUAGGAUUGCUCUAUUAUAUAAAGAGGGAUUCCAUUCACUUGUAGGGAGGACAAUCAUUAUUCACUCAUAAGAAUAUACACAUACGCUGCUUUCUUUGUUUUACUUACCGUUCAUCGCUGUUUGUUCCAUCCUCUACUGUUCUUAUUAACUAACUUCGAGACUAUCUCGAAUCGAGGUCGAAGCAUUGUUUGCAGACCGGUUUGAUUUAUUUUAUUGUCUAAUUUAUCUAUUUAAUUCGUUGUUUAUCAAUUGGUACUUGUUUAAAUCACAUAUCCUUAAAACCACAAUAUAAGUUUAAUUGUUACUCAAUUUUUAGGGUAAACAGUUUGGCGCCCACCGUGGGGCUAAGGAUAAUAGUGAUUGUUCAGUACUGAUUCUGGUAAACACAUUAUUUUAUGCUUGUUCUUGUCAAGUAUCUUUGCUUUCAGGUUAAAACAUGUCAAACUCACAAAACGCAUCCACACACGGUGACAAUGGCCUCAGAUUCCACUGUCUUAAGUUGAGCGUCAACUCCAAAGUAUGAAGGAGGAGAACUUGGCCCGAGCCACAUCUUUCUCCGAGGCGAGACGGUCCAUGUUCUGCUUCCACCUCAAAGUCUCUGCCUCUUUCAUCUUGGCCUCCUCACGAAGCUGCUCAACCAAUUCGGCCUUCUGCUGAACCUGCAGGAUCAAAGUGUUAGUCGCCAAUAUCAAGUUAACGCAUAACAAGCUCCCAAAAUUUACAUUACCCGAUUCAAUGAGCUCGGUCUAAUCUUGAUGAGCUCUUGUCAGCUCGGCUCGAAUACUCAUGAUCUCCUCUUCUUUUUGCAUAACGAGGAGUUUGAGGGCGUCUCUCUCCUUCGUAAGCUUUUUGAGAUCAGCCUCACAUCGGGCCAGCUUAGCUCGGUAUUUAGAGGACGCUUCUCGAUGGAGCGUCGUAGCCUGUACAGAAAAGGAAGAAAAUCACACAUAGAGAAAUAAGAACAAACGCAAGCAUGGUAACAUGGGCUAAAACUCACUUGGUUCAGAAGCCGCUGAGCCUCAUAAAAAAUGAGUGAUGCGUCUAGGUCGGGAACAUCAUCGACCCCCGCGAAGCAGCGACGAAAUAUAUCAUCCCCUUCGGGGGCCGUCCCCACAUCGGGGGUCCCCAUGGACCGGGCAUCCCGAAACUGUCCCUUAGAGAACGUGGGUCCGGGCGGAGAAUCAUCAAUGUUAAUUGCCCCGAGCGAGUCACUUGGGGCAUUCUCUUCUCUUUGAAGGGCCUCAGAACUAGACCCUUCAGGCACAUCCGCCGGUUGCUCAUCAUGGCAGGAGGCAUCAUCAACACCCGAUGACUCGGGGACUCGGCUCGGACCUUCCUCCGAGAUCACCUCGGUCUGCGACUGAACCUCCUCGACCGUCACCGGCUCAGCAGUUCUCGAAGAUUCGAUGCCUUCCCUCUUCCGAGCCACCAGCAGGCAUCGGCAUCUUCUCCCUCCUCGUCUUCCUCUCGUAGCAUUUGGACUACAUCGACAAAUAGAAUGGCGAGAUCAGUCUUCGACUUUUGAGCCCUGCUUUUCCUGGGAUUUGGGGUAUCUGGAGGCGAGGCCCUUCUCCUUUUCUUGUCUUUGGUCGGCUUCGAGACCUCCUCUUCCUC